UAUAUGCUCAGUGAUAGAGCACUUGUUUAGGAAGUGCAAGUUAGAUCCUCAACCCUGGGAGAAAAAGGAUAGCAGGAAGAAAGACAACAGUGUCCGGGCUGGAACUUCAGGCGGGACUCCUUGUAAUUCUCUUUGGGUAGAGAGGAAACUGUCACAAUAGAAGGGCGUGCAUGGAUCACAGCCUGACCAAUGCUGUGCCUGGAAAGAGCAUUGUUUUGGAAUCAGGAAGCAUUGGAAGAAUCCGUACGUGAAUGGAUCUGUGACAGUAAGCAAGAAGGGCUACUGGGCCAGCAAGAUGGCACGGCAGGUAAAAGUGCUCGCUGCCAAGCCUGACGACCAGAGUCCUAUCCUCAGCUGGGCGUAAUGGUGCACACCUUUAGUCUCAGCACUUGGGAGGCAGAGGAAGGCGGAUCUCUGUGAGUUUGGUCGACAUAAUGAGGUCCAGGAUGAGCCUGACUCAAGGAAAAAAAAAAAAAAAAAACCCAAGGAUUCCAGAAUUCUGUCCUCCCAGACACAUCUAGAGGAAGGAGAGACUGACGUCGUAGGAAAUCUGUCCUCUGACCUCCACGCCCACGGAUGGCCUGCCUCUCUCCCCGACAUAUAAAAAGAGUACCAUUAAUGCACACCACCAAAACUAACCAUGACAGGUGAGGCACCAAACAAGAGUCAGAAAACAGGGGCCUAGAGAGAUGGCUCCGUGGUUAAGAACACAGGCUGCUCUACCAAAGGAUCUGGGUUUAUUCCCAGAAUACAUGGCAACUCACAACUUCCGGUAUGAACUCCGGUCCCAAGGCACCCAGUGUCUUCGUUUAGCCUCUGUGGGCACCAGGCAUGUAUGUGGUGUACAGACACAUAUGCAGGCAGAACACCUAAACACAUAAAAGAAUAAUUUUUAAAUUCUAUUUUAAAAUGUAUUUUAAAUGAUUUUUAAAACUAAAAUGAUUUUUAAACAUCCCGGAAAGAGAUUCAGCUUUCGGCCUUGGCCACACCCCUUCUUACACAGUUGCCUUAUGAACGGAAUAGCGCGUGGAGCUAUGAGUGAGUUCAGCCGUGUGGACCCUCAGCAAAGCUGACCUAGCUACUUGCUGCUACUGCGGUUGGAAACGCCAGUGGGAAAAGCAGUGCUAUGCCCUCCAUAGAGGACAGUCCUUUGAGAAAAUCAACCAGCCACUUGUGGAGGCAAAACGACCACUUGAGAGCCUUUCAUGGACCAACAAGCAAGCAUUCAUCCUGAGAUGAUUGCAUUUAUCCUCGGCUCCGGCCCAGCUGCAACAAACCGUUCAGGCUGUUUACGUUUAUUACACUACCUCUCCUCUCAAGAGUACUCAGAGAUUGCACCAGUCAGAGUCCUGGCAGAUUAGAAACCAGAUGGAGUGACCUUACCGUGAGAAAUGAUUGGGGCUGAGUGGCACGAAUAUUUGGCUGGACCAGAUGAUAUUACUGUCCCCCUAAACCAUCUUCCCAGAGAAGUCUUAAAGAGAGCCAAGAAAGCCCAAUGGGAAACAGCUGUUUGGCAACACCAAAGUCAACCAAGGUACCAAGCCAGGAUCAUGUCACCAGCGUACAGUCUGGGCCGAGGAUGGAUUCAGCAUUAAGUUAUAAGCUGAGCGAAGGGUUUUUGUUUGGAACCAGGUGUUCCCCAGCCCGCCUUUAGCAACCGAGUGACGUCAGCCACAUCCCCACCAGCCGCCAAACGGAACCCAUUUCUACUGCCACUGUGAGGACACGUUACAGAUUCCCUGCCAUCACCGCCAGCGCUCUCUAUCCUUUCAUCUCUCUCGUACCCACUCAGAGGCAGCCUUUCGCCCACCCCACCACCAGCAAAUAAAUCUUGUUUUGAACUGGUGCUUUGUUGCUGCUCGUAUCCACCCUCUCCUCUCAACCUCACCUCGGGUAGCUAAACCUCUUGCGCGCCAGGCUAGACUGGAGGAAGAGAAGCUUUUCCAGGCGCCAGUGUGUGCAGGCAGGAACUUGGUCAACUAAUACUCAAGAUCUAUUCUCAAGCUUUGACGCCAUGGCCGCAUGGAGACAGGAGUUUUCUGGAAGUGAGUGGAUACAUGAUAUUUAAAACGUCUUGGGCUGACAAGGUUGCUCAGUGGGUGAAGGCCCUUCUUGUGAAAGCAGGGACUUCUGAGUUUGAUCCCCAGCGUGCACAUAAAGGUGCAAAGAGAACCAACUCCAUAAAGUUGUCCUCCGACCUCACAUGCACAGUAACACAGCACACACACACACACACACACACACACACAUUCACACACACACACAUUCACACACACACACACACACACACACACACACACUCACACGCUCAUGAACAAUGAUAAUAAAAAAGUUCUUUAAGUGAA